rnacentral:rRNA from 1 species
AAGCUCGUAGUUGAAUUUCGGGAUUAGUACGUCGGUCGUGCCUUAGGUACGUACUGGUGUUACUGGUUCCUACCUUCUGACGAACCAUCAUGUCAUUAAUUUGGUGUGGUGGGGAAUCAGGACUGUUACUUUGAAAAAAUUAGAGUGUUUAAAGCAGGCUCACGCUUGAAUACAUUAGCAUGGAAUAAUGAAAUAGGACGUUGAUCUUAUUUUGUUGGUUUCUAGGAUUGACGUAAUGAUUAAUAGGGAUAGUUGGG